UACGUAGGGGGCAAGCGUUAUCCGGAUUUACUGGGUGUAAAGGGAGCGUAGGCGGCGAUGCAAGUCAGAAGUGAAAGCCCGGGGCUCAACUCCGGGACUGCUUUUGAAACUGUGUUGCUAGAUUGCAGGAGAGGUAAGUGGAAUUCCUAGUGUAGCGGUGAAAUGCGUAGAUAUUAGGAGGAACACCGGUGGCGAAGGCGGCUUACUGGACUGUAAAUGACGCUGAGGCUCGAAAGCGUGGGGAGCAAACAGG
rnacentral:rRNA from 1 species